CAGUCUGUGUUGUGGUGUCUGCGAGCGAGGAUUUGAAUUUGGAAUAGUGUGAAAUUCAAAAAAAUAACGUUUAUCAAAGUGUAAAUAACUAAUCGUUUGAUAUUAAAUGUACCCGCAAAUAUUUUAGAUCACCAACAAAGCGAUUGAAUGUAUGUGAAGGUCAAGUGACAAAUUAAACAUUCGAGAACAAAGAUAUAAUAAAUGACGUUACAAUUUAUUAGUGUCACCUUACGUUUGGUUAACGAAUCACUUUGAAGACGGAAACAAGAAAAUUUUCUAGAAACUUUGAAGGCUUUCACGGAUACCAUGUUUUUGAGAUUUUCCUAAAGAUGGCGCUGUGGUACUGCGAAAAAACAUAAUUUGAACACGUUAUUGUAUCGCAAUGGAAAAUACGAUGUGGCUACGAACUGAGGUCAAGCUCAUUAAAACUUUAAGGGACAUCGUGGAAGAGCUUUUGCGAAAGAGGGACGGACAAUAAACUGUUCGUAAAUCUAAAUUGCUCUUAGCUUCAUGAAAUCGGGGCUCUCGGACCGAAGAUAACUUUAACUGCGAGUAUGAAUUUGAAUUGAAAUGGCGUCUGAUAAGAUUAUAUAUUGCAUAAUAAUGCAAAGAAGCAAAAAAAGGAGGAGAGCGAGGAGGACGCUAAAGAAAACGCUAGAGAAAAGCAAAUGGCGCCGCAUGACUGGAAAUUCCAAGUACAAGAUGAAGAGAUAACUAGAUACUAAGACUUCUUUCGAAGAAAAUCAGAAGUAUAAGACCUGAGCAGCAGUAGAUAACGCUUACGUGAUGCCGGUGCCGGGCGCUUUCCUGUGUCCUGACUGCGUUGUAGGCCCAGGGGAAAACACGCCGAUAUGAAUACGUUGCCGAUGCAGAAAAACAUUUCAGAGAUGCAGCAGCAGUGGAGAAACACGGUGAAAGAAGAGCGAAGAUUGAAGACUGAAGAUAAAAGAAGACUGAAGAUAAAAGAAGAAUACUUGGCACAUUCGUGAUCUACCCUGUAGAUCCGGGCUUUUGUAGCGUUGUUUACAUCAGAAGCUCGUCUCUACAGGUAUCUCACGGCUGGAAGACCUC
rnacentral:lncRNA from 1 species